AUCCCAAUAUGGGAGAGGGACACCCUAAAUGGGACUGAGCCAUUUGUUUUGUGGGGAGGUUUUAGGGGGACACCCUAAGGUGGGGCUGAACCAUUUGUUUUUGGGGGUUUGAGGGGGACACCCUAAAGUGGGGCUGAA